rnacentral:rRNA from 1 species
UUCCGGUUGAUCCCGCCGGAGGCCACUGCCAUGGGGGUCCGACUAAGCCAUGCGAGUCAUGGGGCGCGCUCUGCGCGCACCGGCGGACGGCUCAGUAACACGUCGGUAACCUACCCUCGGGAGGGGGAUAACCCCGGGAAACUGGGGCUAAUCCCCCAUAGGCCUGAGGUACUGGAAGGUCCUCAGGCCGAAAGGGCGUAAGCCGCCCGAGGAUGGGCCGGCGGCCGAUUAGGUAGUUGGUGGGGUAACGGCCCACCAAGCCGAAGAUCGGUACGGGCCAUGAGAGUGGGAGCCCGGAGAUGGACACUGAGACACGGGUCCAGGCCCUACGGGGCGCAGCAGGCGCGAAACCUCCGCAAUGCGGGAAACCGCGACGGGGGGACCCCCAGUGCCGUGGCAUCGCCACGGCUUUUCCGGAGUGUAAAGAGCUCCGGGAAUAAGGGCUGGGCAAGGCCGGUGGCAGCCGCCGCGGUAAUACCGGCGGCCCGAGUGGUGGCCGCUAUUAUUGGGCCUAAAGCGUCCGUAGCCGGGCCCGUAAGUCCCUGGCGAAAUCCCACGGCUCAACCGUGGGGCUUGCUGGGGAUACUGCGGGCCUUGGGACCGGGAGAGGCCGGGGGUACUCCUGGGGUAGGGGUGAAAUCCUAUAAUCCCAGGAGGACCGCCAGUGGCGAAGGCGCCCGGCUGGAACGGGUCCGACGGUGAGGGACGAAGGCCAGGGGAGCGAACCGGAUUAGAUACCCGGGUAGUCCUGGCUGUAAAGGAUGCGGGCUAGGUGUCGGGCGAGCUUCGAGCUCGCCCGGUGCCGAAGGGAAGCCGUUAAGCCCGCCGCCUGGGGAGUACGGCCGCAAGGCUGAAACUUAAAGGAAUUGGCGGGGGAGCACUACAAGGGGUGGAGCGUGCGGUUUAAUUGGAGUCAACGCCGGA